ensembl:lncRNA
AUACCAUCAACACUGCAUUGAUGUGGAACAAUCCAGUGGAGUCUAAACAUUCCUCUCCUCAGAUCUUAUCAUUAAGAGAAAGUUUGACAAAGAGGAAUACAAUUUUAUUAGAUUUUUAGAAUUUAUCUUUCUCUACUAUGUAGAAAUACAUGUGUGAUACGGAAGCUCAAAAGAGAACUUUUCAGUUUCAGACAGCAGCAGAGAGAGAUGCAGAGAUAUUGCAGAGAUGCUCACUUCAGUUUUUUUGGCAAAGAACAACAGGCCCCUCCCACGACAGUUUGAUUGACAGUAGCGUUUCAGCACAGACUGGACUGGCGUUUUACCUUAGACCCACCCUGAGUGAGCUGUCAUCAGUCCACCAUUGUUUGACCGCCGGAGCAGAUGUAGACAAGAAUGUCUUCUAAGCGAUUGAGGUGUUCUACUGUUGGAUGUAAUAAUGAACAUAGCAGUCGUCAUUUUCUCCUGACAUUUGAGCUGCUGAAGACACAGUGGAUUACAUUUUGUGCCCCCGAUCUACCUAAAGACAUCUAUCUUUGCGUGAAUCAAUCGUGAUCCUGCUUCACCAACAGAAAAAUGGGAUUCCUUGAAUGUGCCACUUGGACCUGAAAGUAGACGGUGACUGAUCACCCUGGACUGAAUAGUUCCAGCCCUACCUCAUAAACUUGAGAGAGAGUGGCCGACCACCAGGGUCCAGGAGAAGCACCACUGGAAUCAACAAACAAACUGUAGUGUUAUCUUUCAUUUCAAUUCUCUGGCAGCCCAAAUGGCUCUGAUGGCUCUUGAAUGCACCUUUCCUAAAGCUCCAGAAAACACCUGAUUCUGUUGAAGAAAACUGUCAAAGGUUUUGGAUUGGGAAAAGCAGUUACCAGUGUGCAUGAGGUGAUUUCUCAGUAACAGGAAUAUCUGGCAACACUGGCAGAACUUAAAGUGAUAGUAAUCAAAAGAGCCCACAGACAUGUUAUUGCUGACAGGAUACCACAUUCGAGUAAACAGAGUUCCUCACUCUCUGACCAGGAUACAGGAGAGGAAGACCUGGGGCCUGAUGUAUAAACGUUGCGUACGCACAAAAUGGGCAUAGAAAUAUGCAUACGCAUUUUUCCACGCACAUAUCGGGAUUCAUAAAAAAUAAACUUGGCGUAAAUAAGUGCGCACCGUAAGGAUGCUCUUGACCGUGCGUACGCACUUCUUUUUCCUGGAGUGAGAAAAGUAAUUAAGCAAACAGCGAUUUUAAACAUAAUGAAAAAUACCACUAUGUUUGAAGGAUAUAACUAGGAGAAAACGGUAAGAUUUGCACCUUUCCUUUUUAAAAUACUUUGUCAGUGACAAGCCGAAUCAGACAAUUGUGUUUACACUGCAAUAAAUAUGGACUUAUCUGUUUCCACUAAAAAAGCUUAAAGAUGUUCAUCAGCAAAACUGCAUACAUUUAAUUUGAUUUUUUUUUUAAACAAUUGAAAUACUAUUUGGCCAGUGGAAAAG